GGCGGGGGCAAGUGUUCUUCGGAAUGACUGGGCGUAAAGGGCACGUAGGCGUGAAUCGGGUUGAAAGUGAAAGUCGCCAAAAGUGGCGGAAUGCUCUCGAAACCAAAUUCACUUUGAGUGAGACAGAGGAGAGUGGAAUUUCGUGUGUAGGGGUGAAAUCCGUAAAUAUACGGAAGGAAAGCCAAAACGAAGGCAGCUACUCUGGGUC
rnacentral:rRNA from 1 species